AGAAGGAUAAGUGGAUGGGUAGAUGGAUGAAUGGAUGGAUGGAUGGAUGGAUGGGUGGAUGGGUUUAGAAAUGAGUGGGUUAGUAGAUGGAUGGAAGGACAACUGGAUAGAUGGACAAAUGAAUGAAUGCAUGAAUAAACCAGUCAAUGAAUGAACACCUCAUUGCAUGCAACUCUGACUUUACCUCUGGCCAGGAAACUCCUUUUUAUGUAAUUUUUCACAUUUGUUUUAGGACCUGACUUAAAAAAAAUGAAGAACUUGGGCCGAGCACAGAGAUUCAUGCCUGUAAUCCUAGCACUUUGGGAAGCUGAGGCAAGCGGAUCACCUGAGGUGGGAGCUCAAGACCAGCCUGGCCAAUAUGAGACUGAAAUGGAUCCUGGAGGAAGGUAUUUAUUAUGGAUCAACGCAAGUGAAAAGGAGGAGAUGGAGACAGGAUGGGGUGCAGGGAAAAGAUGAACUGCAAUGCAGCCUUGAACCACAGGAGCUACGGAGUAAAUGCCUGUUAGUGUUGCCCUAUGCUGGAUUAAAAGGACUGGGCUUUCCAUCCUUGCAUGAUGCCUUCUUUGGAUGUGGGUCACCCUGGGAAAGAUGUGUCUUUCUUCAGCCAAAGGAACCCCAAAGGAUCUACUUCCUAACCAUAUACCUGCACUGGCCAGUAAGACCAUCCCUUUUGUUUUUUUGAGUCGGAGUCUUGCUCUGUUACCCAGGCUGGAGUGCAGUGGUGCGAACUCGGCUCACUGCAACCUUUGCAGUUCAGGUGAUUCUCUUGUCUUGGUCUCCUGAGGAGCUGGGAUUAUAGGCACACAUCACCAUGCCCAGCUAAUUUUUAUAUUUUCAGUAGAGGCAGGGUUUCACCAUGUUGGUCAGGUUGGUCUCAAACUCCUGACAUCAGGUGAUCCACCUGCCUCAGCCUUCCAAAGUGCUGGGAUUACAGGCAUGAGCCACUGCGCCUGGCCAAGACCAUCCUUGAAGGGUGAUCUGGGUGGCAUGUUAUGAGCCCGCCACACUCCAGCCCAGGCACCUAUCUCUGUUCAGGGAACACUUCUCUUAAGGAUUCCAGCAGGCUUCUCCUUCUAGGGGAAAACUAAGCACAGAAAGGUUAAGAGAAAAAACUGAAGCCCCAGUGUAACAUCUCAUUUCAGGAUCACAUCUCAGAGACAUACCUCUCCUGUCUCCUCUCAAAACCCUUCUAGAACCCAUACCUUUGGCUACCAUUUCUGCUGGUCGUGACUGGGAGUAACACAAUUCCUACCUCCUGGGGGUCACUGAGCCCAGUCACUAUGUUCUUUGAAAUCCAGGGAUGUUGUCUCUGUUCACUUUGGUCACAGUAAAUCCUGAGGUGACACCCUUCUUUCUCCCUGCUCCAUUGUGUAACAGCAUCACAAUCUCUUCUAAUAAUGAAGGUCAAGAUGCUACCACCUUCUCUACUUGUAUAUUAGAAACCAUGAGCCUGAAGUGCCCAAGCAGCCUCUGUAGCUUAUAAAAUUAACAGGGUUCUUUCCUAUCCCCUGGCAUAUAUAUGCUGCCUUUGGGGAACUAGGAGUACCUCCAAUCCUGCAGAUCCAAGAGUUGCAAGAAUAGGAAGCACAAAGUCUCCCAGUGGGCCACUGGUAACAAUGGUGAGUGGGGACCUUUCCACUUUCAUCUGUUCAUUUCAGGACCCAUGUAAUGUUCUCACUGGAGACAUGGUACCAUAUUCAAUCUUUGACUGUGUAGACCACAUAUUGAAGGAGAGCAUCCUACCUUCACAGGCAGCCUGACAACUUUCUAGUCAAUCAUUCAUUUACCUUGUCCUUUCACACUUGUGUAUUGUCCAGUCUGUAUCUGAUAUGUAUCCAAUGUUUAGCUUCUUAUUCCUGAGCUCACCCGCUCUCAGAUUCCUGCCACGAUAUUGUUUUCCAUUUUUGCUCACAGAGUCAGGGUCACUGUGUGAAGUUUUGCAAUUGUGCACUGCUCAAUACCAGGGGCGCACUUUGUGUAGUAUUGCUCUGUAUGAACAGUUCCUCUAAGAGUGGUACCAUUCUUACUGGUUGCGGUAUGAUGAUGCCAUCCCUACUGAACAGUAAGAAUAUCUGUAAGUCCACAGCAGUGGCUCAGAGAUGCCUUUUCAUAUCGAGAGGCUGGUGUUUGCAGAGAGACAAAUGAAUCUUAUUAGUGAUUUUUAUCAGGACAAAUCAUUAUCUAAUAUUUGGCUACUGGAAAUGCAACACAACUUAUAUAGAAUAUUUUCAUGUAACUAAAGAAAUUCUAUCUAGUUUCAUUAUCCAAACCCCUAUUACCAUCAAUAAAGAAAUCAAUAAGCCACUAGUGUAAAAAACA
rnacentral:lncRNA from 13 species